rnacentral:rRNA from 1 species
CGCAAUGGGCGAAAGCCUGACGGAGCGACGCCGCGUGAUUGAUGAAGUCCUUCGGGACGUAAAGGUCUUUUAUGAGCCAGAAAGUUAUUGAUCAGCUCAUGAAUAAGGGGUUGCUAAACUCGUGCCAGCAGCAGCGGUAAUACGAGUGCCCCGAGCGUUAUCCGGAAUUAUUGGGCGUAAAGCGUGUGUAGGUGGUCAUGUUAGUCUCCUGCGAAAUUCUUCGGCUUAACCGGGGCAUGAUGGGAGAAACGGCAUGACUUGAGGGUGCGAGGGGUGUGUGGAACUCUACGUAUAGGGGUGAAAUCCGUUGAUAUGUAGGGGAACACCAAAAGCGAAGGCAGCACACUGGCGCAUUCCUGACACUGAGACACUAAAGCGU